rnacentral:rRNA from 1 species
GAUGAACGCUGGCGGCGUGCCUAAUACAUGCAAGUCGAGCGAACAGACGAGGAGCUUGCUCCUCUGACGUUAGCGGCGGACGGGUGAGUAACACGUGGAUAACCUACCUAUAAGACUGGGAUAACUUCGGGAAACCGGAGCUAAUACCGGAUAAUAUAUUGAACCGCAUGGUUCAAUAGUGAAAGACGGUUUUGCUGUCACUUAUAGAUUGAUCCGCGCCGCAUUAGCUAGUUGGUAAGGUAACGGCUUACCAAGGCAACGAUGCGUAGCCGACCUGAGAGGGUGAUCGGCCACACUGGAACUGAGACACGGUCCAGACUCCUACGGGAGGCAGCAGUAGGGCAUCUUCCGCAAUGGGCGAAAGCCUGACGGAGCAACGCCGCGUGAGUGAUGAAGGUCUUCGGAUCGUAAAACUCUGUUAUUAGGGAAGAACAAAUGUGUAAGUAACUAUGCACGUCUUGACGGUACCUAAUCAGAAAGCCACGGCUAACUACGUG